rnacentral:lncRNA from 1 species
GUUUUAUAGCUGAUGUUAUCUUUUAGGUUUUGCAAGUAAGUAAACAGCUGAUGUAGAAAUAUUGAUGUCUAGUCUACGUACUUAUUACAUGUUUGACAUAUUCUUUUAUUAAUAUUUUGUUUUCCUGCUAAGUACACAUAUUGUAAUAUAGUGGGAAGCUCCUGAUACAACAGGAAGAGAAGAAAGGUGACAAGAAUGGCCUGACACAUAGGAAAGGAGAGCUAAGCACACGUGCUGUCAAUUUAAGGUAACUGGGAAAAUACACAAGAAAAUUGCAAAUAAAGUUGAAGAUAUUCACCUGACAUGUAAAUGGGUUAAGGUAUGUGCCAUUAUAUGAAUUAACUAAAGUUUCAAUG